UUUCAAGGAACCUAGCCUAAGUACGCCGCGUCCUGCGGCAAUGGCUACGUGACCCCACCUCCUGUGGG
rnacentral:sRNA from 1 species